UACGGGGGGAGCAAGCGUUGUUCGGAUUUACUGGGCGUAAAGGGCUCGUAGGCGGUCCAUCGCGUCGGGAGUGAAAAGCUGGGGCUUAACCCCAGUCCUGCUUCCGAUACGGGUGGACUAGAGGUAGGUAGGGGAGAACGGAAUUCCCGGUGUAGCGGUGAAAUUCGUAGAUAUCGGGAGGAACACCAGAGGCGAAGGCGGCCACCUGGACAGAGAUUGACGCUGAGACGCGAAAGCGUGGGGAGCAAACAGG
rnacentral:rRNA from 1 species